rnacentral:rRNA from 1 species
GGUUAAGUGACUAAGCGUACACGGUGGAUGCCUUGGCAGUCAGAGGCGAUGAAGGACGUAUUAACUUGCGAUAAGCCCAGAUUAGGUAGUAAAAACCAUUUGAGUCUGGGAUUUCCGAAUGGGGAAACCCAAUACCAUAAGGUAUUACUGUUGAGUGAAUACAUAGCUCAACAGGGCGAACCGGGGGAACUGAAACAUCUAAGUACCCCG